UCCUUAGUUGCCAGCACGUCAUGGUGGGGACUCUAAGGAGACUGCCGGUGUCAAACCGGAGGAAGGUGGGGACGACGUCAAGUCAUCAUGGCCUUUAUGUCCAGGGCUGCACACGUGCUACAAUGCGGCGUACAAAGGGAAGCAAAAUCGCGAGAUCAAGCAAAUCCCAAAAAGCGUCGCUCAGUUCGGAUUGCAGGCUGCAACUCGCCUGCAUGAAGUUGGAAUCGCUAGUAAUCGCAGGUCAGCUAUACUGCGGUGAAUAUGUUCCUGAGCCUUGUACACACCGCCCGUCAAGCCACGAAAGCGGGGGGCGUCCAAAGUCGCUGAGCUAACCCUUCGGGGAGGCAGGCGCCUAAGAUGAACUCCGUGAUUGGGACUAAGUCGUAACAAGGUAGCCGU
rnacentral:rRNA from 1 species